UACGAAGGGGGCUAGCGUUGCUCGGAUUGACUGGGCGUAAAGGGCGCGUAGGCGGCGGACACAGUCAGACGUGAAAUUCCUGGGCUCAACCUGGGGGCUGCGUUUGAUACAUGUCUGCUUGAGUUCGGAAGAGGGUCGUGGAAUUCCCAGUGUAGAGGUGAAAUUCGUAGAUAUUGGGAAGAACACCGGUGGCGAAGGCGGCGACCUGGUCCGAUACUGACGCUGAGGCGCGAAAGCGUGGGGAGCAAACAGG
rnacentral:rRNA from 2 species